rnacentral:rRNA from 1 species
UACGAAGGGGGCUAGCGUUGCUCGGAAUCACUGGGCGUAAAGCGCACGUAGGCGGCUUCUUAAGUCAGGGGUGAAAUCCUGGAGCUCAACUCCAGAACUGCCUUUGAUACUGAGGAGCUUGAGUCCGGGAGAGGUGAGUGGAACUGCGAGUGUAGAGGUGAAAUUCGUAGAUAUUCGCAAGAACACCAGUGGCGAAGGCGGCUCGCUGGGACGGCACUGACGCUGAGACGCGAAAGCGUGGGGAGCAAACAGG